UGGAUAUCUAGGUUAGCUAAACACCCAUCA
rnacentral:piRNA from 1 species